AGCGCGGUAGAGCAGUGGUAGCUCGCGACGCUCAUAACGUCGAGGUCGGCGGUUCGAGUCCGCCCUGCGCCA
rnacentral:tRNA from 1 species